AUUUUUUAAAAUCCCUAUUUGUAGUCCCUCUUAGUCAUGUCAAUCGAUAAGUCAUGGAUUGGAAAAUCACGAACCACGCAUGAGUAUAAAGAUGGUUUAAACAAGUUUUUGGAUUUUGCUUUUGAGCAUCGAUCUCUCGUGGGUCGUCAGAUUAAAUGCCCUUGUCCGGUGUGUGGUUUUGGCAAGUGGCAAACAAGGGAGAAAGUUUUUGAACAUUUAAUAGUCAAGCCAUUUCCAGAAAACUACAAAGUUUGGUAUUGGCAUGGUGAAGAAGUAGUUGGAGUUGGGUCACAAGUUCAUCAAACUAGUCAUAUUGUACAAGAUGAUUCGACAUCUCAGCAUCCAAUGGUAACAAUGCUCAAUGACGCGUUUGGAGCUGCUGGACCUGACUUGAAUGUAGAUGGAGAUGGAGAUGAAGACAACAUAGAAGAUGGAGAUGGAGACAAUGCAGCAAAUGAAGAGCACAAUGGAGAAAAUGUAGAAUUUUACAAGUUGUUAGAAGAUGGCAAUGAACAAUUGUAUGAAGGGUGCACAAAGUAUUUAAAACUGUCUUUCUUAAUUAGUCUGUAUCACAUAAAGUGCUUAUAUAGAAUAAGCAACAAAGCCAUGACCGAAAUCCUCAAGUUAUUAAAAGAUGCUUUUGGAAAUGCAAAGAUUUCAAAUACAUUCUAUGAGGCCAAGAAAACCAUAAAUAAACUAGGGCUUAAUUAUACCAAGAUACCUGCUUGCCCUAAUGACUGCAUGUUAUAUUGGGGGGAGGAUGAAGAUUUGCAAGAAUGCAAAAGAUGCAAGACAUCUAAAUGGAGCGAUUCUAAAAAGAAGAAACCAGCAAAGAUCUUGCGAUACUUUCCACUAAAACCGAGACUUCAACGAUUAUUCAUGUGUUCUAAGACUGCUCAAUCAAUGCAAUGGCAUGCUUCGGCAGAAAAGAAAGAUUCGAAGAUGAGGCAUCCGCGGGAUUCUGAAGCUUGGAAGACAUUUGAUUUACUUCAUGAUAGGUUUGCCGAGGAUCCUCGAAAUGUACGUCUUGGUCUUGUAGCUGAUGGAUUCAACCCUUUUGGAGCUAUGCGUACAAACUAUAGCGUUUGGCCAGUGGUGCUUAUUCCAUACAAUCGGCCUCCAUGGGAGUGCAUGAAGCCAACAUCACUUAUCUUGUCAAUGAUUAUUCCUGGAGAGAAAAUGCCGGGGAACAACAUAGAUGUAUACUUACAACCUCUUAUUAAAGAGUUAAAAGAGUUGUGGUAUGAUGGUGUUCAAACAUUAGAUAGGUUCAAGAAUGAAAUGUUUACAUUGCGAGCAGCAUUAAUGUGGACAAUUAGUGAUUUUCCAGGCCUUAGUAACUUAUCUGGGUGGAAUGUACACAGUAAAUAUGCUUGUCCUACAUGUAACUUCAACACUGAUUCAUAUAGAUUAAAGCAUGGUGGAAAAUGGUGUUUUUUGGGACAUCGCCGUUUCUUAGAAAGGGGUCAUAAGUUUAGGCUAAGUCGUGCAAAAUUUAAUGGAAAAGUUGAGUUGAGGGAUCCCCCAGCAGUACUAACAGGGUCAGAAAUAUUAGAACAACUUGAAGGAAUCAAUGUUUCAUUUGGGAAGGAACUACAAGAAAGUAAAGGUAAGAGGAUUCGACGAAAAGUUGUUGAAGAAGAUGAUGAAUCGGGGAUGUGGAGGAAGAAAAGCAUAUUUUUUGAUCUUCCUUAUUGGGAGUCUAACUUAUUGCGCCAUAAUCUAGAUGUUAUGCACAUUGAAAAGAAUGUUUGCGACAAUGUGUUAUACACUUUGCUCAAUGAGACUGGAAGGUCAAAGGAUAAUCUCAAAGCUCGUAAGGAUCUUAAAGAAAUGGGUAUAAGAAAAGAUUUAUGGCCAGAUGAAAAUGGGAGAUAUCAUCCAUCUUUGUUCACAAUGUCAAAUUCCAUGAAAGAUAUAUUCUUGCGUACUAUAAAGAAUAUUAGAGUACCAGAUGGUCUCUCGAGUAAUAUUUCACGGUGUGUUGACCUGAAGCAAAGAAAGCUUUCUGGAUUGAAGAGCCAUGAUUGCCACGUUCUUAUGCAGCAACUAUUACCCAUUGCCAUACGUAAUGUGCUACCAGAUAAAGUUACUGCAGUGCUAAUAGAGUUGUCUUCAUUCUUUCAACAGUUGUGCUCUAAAAGCUUAAGUCUUACAGAACUUGAGAAGCUCCAACCUCGAAUAAUCCUUACCCUUUGUCAUUUAGAAAUGUUGUUCCCUCCUUCUUUCUUUACAAUCAUGGUUCAUUUAACCUGUCAUCUAGUUGAUGAAGCAAAACUCGGAGGACCAGUACACUAUAGGUGGAUGUAUCCUAUUGAGAGGUAUUUAGGUCAUUUGAAGUCCUAUGUACGAAACAAAGCUAAAUCAGAAGGUUCUAUAGCUGAGGGAUAUGUGGCUGAAGAAGCUCUUACAUUUUGCUCUCGAUACUUAGAAGGGAUUGAGACAAGAUUUAAUAGGCCACCACGUGUUGAUGAUCGUCCGGAUGAUAAUUGCAGUACACAUGUGGAUUCUCUUUUUCCACAAAUGGGGAACUCAAAGGGAGCUUUCACAGUAUUUGAGUUGUCACCUAUGGAAAAAAAACAAGCACAUCGAUAUGUGGUUUUAAAUUGUCCAUAUGUCAAACCGUUCAUUGAUGACUUCAAAGAUUUUGUACGAAGACGAUCUAAGGGUAGAAGGCCUUCAAAUGUAGAGAUAGAAAAAAAAGUCAAUAAAGAUUUUGUUACUUGGCUUCCUGCGCAGCUUAUGAACCCAGAUAUUAUGAAUACUGUGCAUGAGGAUUUGAGAUACUUAGCAAGGGGUCCAUCACGAUAUGCCAAGAGGUUUUCUACAUUUAGUAUUAAUGGGUUCUCCUUUCGAACUACCAAUCGAGACAAAGGGUUAAAGACCCAGAAUAGUGGAGUUUUUUUAAUGUCUUCAACUCCUUGUGUUGCUAGCGCUAGUGAUGCUGAUGUUAGGAAUGCUGAUUUGUCAUAUUAUGGCAAACUAGAAGAUAUUAUAGAACUAAACUACAAUGGCCGAUUUCGGGUUACUUUAUUCAAAUGUAAAUGGGCUGACACCACUAGAGAACGGGGCUGUAGAAAGGAUAAUUGGGGUUUUACUUCUGUUAAUUUUUCACAAGUAAUACACAGUGGUGACCAAGAGGAGGAUGAUCCGUAUAUUGAAGCCUCACAAGCUCGAAUGGUAUAUUUUGUCAAUGAUGAAGUGAAUAAAGAUUGGAGUGUUGUCGUGCAUUUGAAGCCAAGAGAUUCAUAUGAUAUGGGGGGAAAUGAAGAUGAUGAAGCAUGCGAGAAUGAGCCAUGGUUAGAGCAAAACUUAGAUUCUUUAUUUGAAAAUGGUGAUAAUCUAUCAUUGUUAAGAGAUGAGGUAGAUGAUGAACUACUAGAUAAUGACAUUGGAGAAGACGAACACAUGUCAGAAUAGUUAGUAUAUUAAAUUAAUUCAGUUUCUUUCAGAAUCACCGUGUAUGAAACCAGGUCUUCAAAUUGAGCUAAGCCAAAGAUGGUAAAGUAGGUGAGUUUUAUUAAUAAGUGGUUUAUUAUAGAAAAAUAAUUUUUGUCUACAUUUCUUCUUUUUCAAUUUAACUUUUGUUUGUAAAUUUUACAUAAAUAUGUUGUUUAGAUUCAUUAAUUGAUUUAAUGGAACUAUUAAACCUUGAUGCACAUUUUAUUCUAUAUUUAUUAAUUAUUUAUUUGAUCUAUUAUAUAGAUAUGCCAAAGCAAAAGAAGUACAAGAAUCUACUUAAAGCAGCAGCUGCAAAUUCUUCACAAGACAAGUCAAUAGCAGCUGCAAAUUCAUCCCGAGACAAGUCGGCAGCUUCAAAUGCAUCACAAGUCAAGUCCGUAGCAGCUGCAAAUUCCUCCCGAGACAAGUCGGCAG